CCACUUCAAGUGGUACUUGAAUUCGUGUAGAAAAGUACGUUAGGGUUUCCACCAUGGCUUGUGCCUCCGCUUGAGCCGCUGAAGACACCUUAAUAGAUCGCGCAAAACCGUCAAUUAGCCUUCCAGAACUGUCACGACAAACACCUGCCACUGCGCCUUCGUUCCUUCUAGGCAGAGAGGCUCCAUCAAUAUUGAUUUUGAGUUCCCUUGGCUCUGGUGGCCGCCAUUGAUGGAGGCGGAAGCUUGCUGCGUUUUUGGUUUUCUUCUUCGGAGGGAGCUACUGAUCGUGAUUUCGUUGCAUCACAACAGCUUCAUCCACUACCUGCUCUGGAUCUGGUUUUUUCUCUCGAAAAACAAAGUGGUUUCGGGCUUUCCAUAUUUGCCAAAGAACAAAUGCUAGAAACUCAAAGGAGACCGAGAUUUUCCUUGUCCAUGGACAAAGAAGGAGAGCGUGUUCUACGGUUUCAGGGCUUUGAUUACAGAGACUGCAAAGGGGAGGAGAAAGAUGCCAUUCGUUGCUCUACGUCUUCUGCCUCUUCCAUGGCAGCCAAGCUAAAAGGAUUCAAGCUUUGGGAUUAGACAAUCCAAUUAGUGAGGGAUGAUUGAAGCAGGCUGGGGUAAAAGGGUUAGGGUUUUUAUGGUAUUUGGGUGGAGACGGGAUAGGAUUUUAGGGAAUGUUAGGGUUUUUAGCUACCCAAAAAGGUAGAGAGAGACUCUUCGAAAAGAGAGGAUUGAGUGGUUUUCCUUUACAAGUAGCAAAUUAGACACGACAUACUUCAAAAGGUAGUAUUUCGAAGAUCACAAGUUCACGCUAGCCACCUUCUAGGCUCCAUUCUUGGUAAAGGCCAAAGAUGCAGCCCCAGAU